rnacentral:rRNA from 1 species
GGCUCAGAUUGAACGCUGGCGGCAUGCCUUACACAUGCAAGUCGAACGGCAGCACGGGUGCUUGCACCUGGUGGCGAGUGGCGAACGGGUGAGUAAUACAUCGGAACGUACCUUAUCGUGGGGGAUAACGCAGCGAAAGCUGUGCUAAUACCGCAUACGAUCUACGGAUGAAAGCGGGGGACCGUAAGGCCUCGCGCGAUUGGAGCGGCCGAUAUCAGAUUAGGUAGUUGGUGGGGUAAAGGCUCACCAAGCCAACGAUCUGUAGCUGGUCUGAGAGGACGACCAGCCACACUGGAACUGAGACACGGUCCAGACUCCUACGGGAGGCAGCAGGUGGGGAAUUUUGGACAAUGGACGCAAGUCUGAUCCAGCCAUUCCGCGUGCAGGAUGAAGGCCCCGUCGGGGUUAGUAAACUGUCUUUUGUACGGAAACGAAAAGGUCUCUCUUAAUACGGGGGGCUCAUGACGGUACCGUAAGAAUAAGCACCGGCUAACUACGUG